UAUUUGAGCACUUGCUCCAUUUCAAUUACUAUUAGUAUUGGCCCACCAUGGAUGCUGAUGCCAAAACCUAUGCAAAACUAUACAUCUAAACGAAGUUUUAAUCCUUGCCUGACAACUUGGAGACUCUGGUUCAACACUUCUCUGGCCCACUGUUACUGCACUCUCUCUUUCUUUUCCUAAGACCAUGUCAACUCUCACCCUGCCCACCUUAAGCGAUUUCGUCAUCUCAGUGCCUACCAUGUCCAAGUGCUCCACAACCAACCCACUUGCUCUUUAUCACCCACAUAGUUUUCGACCUUAAUGCAAGGAAUGGUGUUAUUCUAGCUUUCAUACAGCCUCUAUCAUUUACAUGGACAGGAGAAUAGUGCGAACCCAAGUAAUGGUGUUAUUAUAGGAGAGAAACUGGAACUGCCAUCGGAUUCACCCUAGAUGCAAAGUAUAGCUUUAUACUAGGCAUAUUUUUCUUGUUGCAAUGAAGUCAGGGCAUCUCUUGAUUAUAUUAAUUUGGUAAUUAUUUGCAGUGAUGAUCAUGGCCAUUGAGGUUUUUCAUUCUUUGACCUUUUGCUAAAAUUAUGAAUGGUUUUGAUAGGUUGAGUUUACUUAUCUUUUACCUUUUAUGGGUCUAAUUCUUAGGUUAGGCCAUGCUUAACAGGAUAAUUGUCACCGAUUUGCUAUCACCGUUGAUUCUAUAGACAUCACUGGCUACAAAGACUAAUUAACUGUUCCCAUUUGGUUUACUACAGCUUCAACCCAAUAUUCAUGCUCGCCGAGCCAUUGAUGUUGGCAUCUGUGUUUUUCUUCUUUUUCAUGGCUUGUGUAGCUUACCUGCACGUCGACCUUUCCAUUCGGAAGUGAAAAAGUAACACAUAUUGGGGAUUCUUAAAAGCUUUAUCGGAGAGUAACUUCGACUUUGGCUGUGUGACCUAGGCUAGCGGCCAAGAGUUCUUCAGUGCAUCAACAUGAGAAGAAAUCUUGUGAUACAUUUAAAAUUAUGAAAUUUUGUUUGGGUUUCAAAUAGGAAAUUGUUGUUUGUACAUUGUUCCCCAUUUUAUUGAGACUAAAGUAGGUCCCUGCAAUCGAAAGGGGAAGGCAUCAGAUUGCUGGUAAAACAACUCAGGAGAUAGACUGAAUCUAAAAUCGGCUGUUGAGUUCCAUUAUCUAAGUCAGAGUGGCUGCUUGGCAAUUGAUGAUGUUG